UGAGGAACAUGACUUUCGGCGGGGGAUAGCCGGCCCAACGGCCGGGUAAUACCGCGUACGACCUUUCGGGGACAUCCCCGAUUGGUGAAAGCAGCAAUGCGCCGAAAGAGUGCCUCGCGGCCUAUCAGCUAGUUGGUGGGGUAAUGGCUCACCAAGGCGACGACGGGUAGCUGGUCUGAGAGGAUGGCCAGCCACAUUGGGACUGAGAUACGGUCCAGACUCCGUACGGGAGCAGC
rnacentral:rRNA from 1 species